AAUAGAUACCCAGGUAGUCCUGGCCGUAAACGAUGUCGACUAGAUCGCGGCGGCUCUGACGCCGUCGCGGUCGAAGCAAAAGUGCUAAGUCGACCGCCUGGGAAGUACGGUCGCAAGGCUAAAACUCAAAGGAAUUGACGGGGGCUCACACAAGCGGUGGAGCAUGUGGUUCAAUUCGAAGCAACGCGCAGAACCUUACCUGGGUUUGACUCGCUAGGAUUACCCUCGUGAAAGCGAGGUAGGCCCCGCAAGGGGUACAACUAGUACAGGUGCUGCAUGGCUGUCGUCAGCUCGUGUCGUGAGAUGUCGGGUUAAGUCCCUUAACGAGCGAAACCUUUACCCUUAGUUACCAGCGGGUUAUGCCGGGGACUCUAAGGGGACUGCCGGUGUCAAACCGGAGGAAGGUGGAGAUGACGUCAAGUCCUCAUGGCCUUUAUACCCAGGGCCACACACGUGCUACAAUGGCGUGCAUAAAGCGAACCUAAAGCGCGAGCUCAUGGAAAUCGCAAAAAUCACGCCUCAGUUCAGAUCGGAGG
rnacentral:rRNA from 1 species